AGCACGUGACGUCUGAGUGGUUCACAUGACGCUCACAGUCCAGUGUUAGCAACCGGAAUCGGCCAAUUCAUGGCGGGGUGACAACGCACACUGGCGGCUUCGUUCUAUUUGCUGCACAUGCGAAACGGAUGGUUGCAUCUUUUGGACGUGAGCCGAGCCCGAUGGAGUUGUUUGUGGAGACGCACGUGCGGAGUCAAGACCGCCAAAAAAGGGUGUAACAGUUCGUUGAUAACCGUGCUCAACAUUUCGUGGUGACCUAUAAUAAUCAGUUGAGGGAGAGAUAUGGAGACGAUAUGUUGAACCAUCCGGAAUUCGAUCCAGAUUUAUGGAUGGAGGUUGGCUCCUCAGGUGGACCCGAUAAAAAUCGGGUUUACAGGCU